GUGACGCUGCGCUCUGCUCCACGCCCAGCCGGCUCUGGGCUGCUGGCUACCCUGUAAUUACCUGACAGCUCUGACUGAGUUUAGGAACCGCGAGAAGCCUCAGUCUCAUCUCUGGGAUCUGGAGGAAGGAAGGGAAAUGAAGAGGCAUUCUAAAAAUGCGGACUCACCAGUUCUCAACCUCCCCUGGCCGGAGGGUGCUUGGCACUGAGCAUGGCAUCUACAAGUGGGCCAGGAGUGAGUCAGUGAGCGUGCCGCCCACUGUGAAGACCUGCCAGAGGACACACCGGGCAGCAGCCCCACAAGGAAGAAGCUCCGGGACUAUGCUUCCAACCAGUGUGCCUUUCCUUGCUCACAGGCUGCCUAGGACUGGCAAUACUGCGCCCUCAGCUUCCUGAAUGCUGGGAUUACAAGUCAGUGCUAACACCCCUGGCUACGACAUCCCUGUUAUGUUAUUGCUUUGUUUUGAGACAGGGUCUCUAACUGGAUGUCCUGGGACACACUGUGCAGACUAAGUGGCCCCAAACUCACAGAGAUCUGUCUGCCUCCCAAGUGUCAGGAUGAAAGGCGUGUGCCACCACC